rnacentral:lncRNA from 1 species
CUGCAGACCAUCGUGGCCCUUUGCAGUGUUCGGAAACAUAUGCGCACCCCAGGGAGGGACACACACACACACACACACACACACACACACACACACACACACGCAAACUCACAAACACAACACACAGACAGAAAAUGACAAAUAAACACACACACUCACACACACACACACAGGAGCCCACAGAAAAAAGCAAAUAGACGCAGAAACGGGCACGUGCAGUAGUUCUGGCCACACAUGUUCCCUAGGUAUCCACAGAAUGGCAUGGGUAUUGUAUAUUCAUAAAGAUGGAGAUCAGUCAUGGAGGCCAAGGACAAGUAGGUGCACUGGUUGAACUACAGUAGAGAAUGGCAUGGAAGUGGUGAGCAAUGGACCUGGGCCUGUUUCUCAAGUGUGUAUUUGAUUUCUUUACAAUUCCCCGGAGAAGUUGUCAUGGGAGGCCAGCCGCCUGCUGGCAAGGAAGAUGGUUGAUUCUUCUGAUCAAUGGAGGCCCUGCAGAGUCCUGUAGUCACUGUGGCCUGGCAUCCAUGGUGCACCCAAUGCUGGUGGAUGGCUUAGGACGGUAAGCAUUCCUCUGCCCCACGUGCUGAAUGAGAGUGGCUUUUGGAUGUCCUAUACCUUCAAGGAGCUGUUUGUCAGCAGCGAAUGACAUGGCAAGUUCCACUCCUAGAGUGGAUGGUCUGUGCCCAUUGCUCAGUGGUGCAGCUCUGGCUUCCCCAGCAUGCUGAAUGUCUUUAAGGUCAUCAGCUCGCCCCUUCCCAGCCUGUGGUGUCAAAUGUCUUGCCCCUUGUCAAAUGUGCUUGGAUCGAUGAUGAGUCCCCUAUAAAAACAUUCCUUGGAAAAGCUGAACAAAAUGAGUGAGAACUCAUAACGUCAUUCUCAUCGGAACUGAGGUCCAGCACGUUGCCUCCUCUGGGGACUGUAGGAGCGAGGGACAACUUCCACUGGUUCCCAUGGGUUCCACCACCCAGGGCAUUUACAGAUGAAAAUCUCCUAUCACAUGCAUGUGAGGAACAUUUCCUCUGUAUGACAUAGACGGAUGGGACAGUUGUGGAGGGAUUGGCCACUCUGUGAUGUUGUGGCAGCCACGGAAGCAGGUGGAAGUGUUUUGACCUAGGGUUGUGUAUGGCUGGUCUCGGCUUGGUGAGCUCCCAGGAAGGGAGACCCGGGCCUCGCAGCAGGUGUCUUUAUGUAGAGGACCAGGUCACAGUUCCCCUGCCAAGGAGAGCAUGAGGCUCAGGCCUCAGAUAGACCUUGGUCUUCAUUUUCCACUAGCUGAUAAUGGGAGUUCCAAGGUGAUGGAGGAGAGCACAGAGCAAUGGGUGUCACCGCAGAUGGCUAAAGCCUCUUUGGCCCUCCUUCCAGCAUCAGUCACAGGUGCCCCCUGGCAUGGAUUUCUUUGCAUCCCUAGCCAUGAGAUGACCAUGGUGCAGUGACCAAGGCUUGGCCAGGAUGGUACCCCAGAGAAAAGGUGGUGAAGGGCUCAUGUGGACAUGUGUGUCAUCAGCUGCAUUGGGCUGUCACUUGGUGGUGAUGGGCUUCCCAUGGAUUUCUCUGGUGGAUGACAGGUCAGCCAGGGCGGGUCUUUGAGGGCAUGUCUCUGGGCAAGUGAGUGUCGGGAUGGUGUCUGUGGCCCUGGGUCACUUCCGGUCUUCUCAGCAGAGUAGUGGGCUCCACCGUUGUGCACACCUUUCUGGAAAUGGUCUCUUGGCAUGCAUUGUUGGGUGGCCUUACCUGCUGCAACUCAUGUGAGCAAAUAACUGCUCUGGAUCCUCUUUCCCGCUUGGAAAGCAAUUUCCAUUCUGAAGGCAUCCAGAGGGAAUGUGCCCUGGCCCUGGCCUGGGAUUCUCCAGUGGGUUCCAGUCAUGCAUGGGGCUAUCCACGGAGGUCUGUGUGCAUUCCAGGCAAUGCGUAUGCAGUCCCAGCGGCAUUGCCACAGAGAGUCUCUCGACUUGGGAUGACUCUGCGUGUUGACAGUGUUCCAGUGUUGGAUUCCGCUAUGCCCUAGGCGUGGUGAAGCAUUUCAGCUCCCUUAACUGGUUUGAAGUCUCAGCACGGCCAGGACAGGCAUGUCACGCUGAAGGGCACACAGUUGGCUUAGGAAAGCUGAAAAGGUUGGUAGUUCUACGGCUUGCAGUUCACUUAGCAGAAACGUGCUUGUGGACCCCGUGGUGUUGAGACAGUGUUGACUUAUAGGCACUGUGGUAUGUAGUAGUGAGGUCAAGUUGGCUGUGUGAUAGGAUGUUGCCUCAGAGGUCGGUGCAGGGAAGCCCUGUAGAUGUGUCCAGUGCAAGAAUGAUGACAGGCGGUGUGUCCUGUCAACCUUGUCCUUAGGGGGUCAAGUGGAGAUGUCCUCUUGGAAUAGCAGCCAUUAGCUAGGAUGUCCUGAGGGCACGGUGUGGGCAUGUGGACUGAGUGGAGGGGAGGAAGCCCGUGUCUUGAGAUUGUUUGGCUAGGUUGGGAAGACUGCCUCUGGCCUUGACACUGAGUUUCAAACUGAGGUGCUGGACUUUGCGAUGGUGCCCUCCAGUGCUGGUUGUAGUUGGUUUUCCACCACAUGUGCCUCACCUGAGAGGGCAGCCAGAGAGAGUGUCUGGUCACAACAUCAGAUGCCCUGUGAGGAGGAGUGUGUGCUCAUGCCAGGCUUGGUGGCUGUUAGGCAAGGGACCUCGGGCCCAUGUCCGCAUGGCCUCAAGGUCAAAGUUCACAUCCUACUGAUUGAAGGCCUGGGUCUUGAGCUUUUGGGUUGUGAGGAGGUUCAGGUCUAGAGGCUGCAGACUAUGACCACCCCUUGUGGUGUUGGGAAACAUAUGUGCAUGAGGGAGACACACAUACACACACACACAGACACACUCUCUCUCUCACACACACACACACACACACACACAGGCGUGCAUAGCCACAGGCAAAUAGAUUCAGCAAUGGGCACAUGCUGUCGUUUCGGUCACACACGCUUCCUAGGUCUCCACAGAGUGACACGGGUCAGGUAUAUUCAUGGUAAUGGAAGUCAAUCAUGGAGGCCAAGGAAAAGUAGGUGUGUGAGUUGCCCUGUAAGCAAGAAUGGCGUUGAAGAGGUGACCAGUGGACCUUGGUCUGUUUCUUAAGCAUGCAUGUGAUUUCUUUACACUUCUAAGGGGCAGUUGCCGUGGGAGGCCUGCCGUCUGCUGAAAGGAAGAUGGUUGAUGCUUCUGAGCAAUGAAGGCCCCAUGGAGUCCUGGAUUCGGUGUGGCCUUGCAUCCGUGGUGCACCCCGUGCUGGUGGAUGGCUCAGGACGGGGCAGUUGCCAUGGGAGGCGCAGGCCUGCUGGAAGGAAGAUGGUCGAUUCUCCCAAGCAACAAAGGCCACGUAGAGUCCUGGUUUCAGUGUGGCCUGGUAUCCACAGUGCACCCCGUGCUGGUGGGUGGCUCAGGACGCACACUCAUUUCCUCUGCACCUUCCUGGUGUCAUUGGCAUGGAAGGAAGGCCCUUGUCCAAGAAGGAUGGUCUUCGUCUUGUGUGAUCUUUGAGAUGCCAUGAGGCCCCUGGAUACAAAUGGUGUGGGCUCCUUUGGAGGCUUUUGGAUUUCUCCUGAAUGUGGCGUUGGUAUGGAAGGAAGGCCAGUGACCGCAAGGGAUGACUUUGAUCUUGGGAGAUUUUUGGAGAUGGCAAAGUGCUUCUAAACAUGUUUGGCAUGGUCUCCUUCAGGCUGGUGGAUACCUCAGGAUGGUGGCGUUGGCAUGGAAGGAAGGACUGUGUCUGUGAGGGAUGAUCAUCCUCUCAUGUGAUCCUUGGAGAUGCCAGGAAGCCCCUUGACACAUGUGGCAUGGGCUCCUUCAGAGGCUUUUGGAUCCGUCGUGAAUGUGGCAUGGGCAUGCAAAGAAAGACAGAGGCUGCAAGGGAUAAACUUCAUCUUGGGAGAUCCCUGGAGAUGGCAGGGAACCCAUGGACACAUGUGGCAUGGGCUCCUUUGGGUGCCGGUGGAUCCCUUCAUACGGUAUGUGUUCAUUUCUCAAAAGACCCUAAUGUUCUUCCUUUACAGGAAUGAAUACUGUGCAUGGACCAAUGAUGACUUCCAUACAUGCAUUCCUUGGAAAGCUGAACAAAAUGAGUGGGAACUCUGUACUAUCAUCUUAGUUGAACUGAGGUCCACCGGGGGCUAUAGAGGGACAACUGUCAUUUUUUUUGAUGCCCGUUGCAUGAAGCAUUCUUCCAGGCUUAGGAAGGGAUUCCGUUUGGGUGAAGGAGAGUCACAGGGGAGUUGAGGCUAUGUGCACAGGACUUCUGUCUACAAGGCUGGGGUAGCACACAUGCAGUCCGUGGGACUAGGUGAAUGUGCAGGUUGCUCAGGGAGAGUUAACCUGUAGCCUGCCUCUGGGUGGCCAAGAUUGUCCUUGACUCCUGGCUCUGGGUUCCCACAACCCCUGGAGGAAGACAAGUAAUUGUGCUUGGGAAGAGAGAACAAGGCCAUACUUUUGCCUUUCUUUUUUUCAUUCUUAGUUUGAGAACAGUGGAGUUCCAAUCACCUGGCAUAGCUUUCAUGUUGUGUUCCAUGCAUUGUGAGUACAUGCAUAUGGCAGGAACACACAGGUUCCCACUGCAAGCUGAGCCUGAUAGGCAAGGAGUCUCUAGCUUAACCCCAGCCCAGUGUACGUCAAUGGCUUCCUCAUUAAAAUUGCAUGGCCCUGUAGCUUUUGUGAGUGACAUUAUAGGUAUCGAUGUAAGGGUGUUGAGAGGGAUGCUCAAUGUCAGUGCUCUUUAGUGUGCUGAUGCACUACUACAAGGGCACCUGAGCCCUUGUCCAUGCAUUUCUGUGUCCAAAAUCAGGUAAAGCCAGAGUUGGGUAUCAACCAGAUACACUGCAGGGGAUCAGAGGACAUGGCCUUUGUGUACUGCACAUCUGUCAGAUUUUCUCAAGCACACCCGUGUUUCCUCUUCACCUCCCACGUGGAAGUGAUGAAUUGGCCAGGACCAUGUUGGUGAGGGACAAUCAUCAUCUCAUGUUAACCUCAGAGAAGCCAGGAAGCUCCUGGACACACAUGGUGUAGGCUUCCUUGGAGGCUGUUGGAUCUCUCCUGAAUGUAGUGUUGGUGUAAAAGGCAAACCCGUGUCAUGAGGGAUGGUCAUCAUCUUGUGUGAUCCUUGGAGAUGGCAGGAAGCCCUGGACAUACAUGGUGUGGGGGCUCCUCCAGAGGCUGUUGGGAUCCUCCUGGAUGUGGUGUGGGCAUGGAAGGAAGGCCAGUGGAGACAAUGGAUGAUCUUGUUCUUAGCAGAUCACUGGAUGUGGCAGGGAGUCCUAGGACAUGUGUGGUGUGGGCUUCUUCAGGUGCUGGUGGUGUUGGCAUGAGGAAAGGAGGUAUCUUCGAGGGACAAUCUUCUUCUUGUGCGAUCCUUGGAGAUGCCAUGAGGCCCCUGGACACAUGUGGUGUGGGCUCCUUUGGAGGCUGUUGUAUCCCUUCUGAAUGUGGCGUGGGCAUAGAAGGAAGGCCAGUGGCCACGAGGGACAAUCUUGGUCUUGGGAGAUCCUGGAAAUGAUAGGGAGUCCCUUGAUAUGUGUGGCAUGGGCUCCUUCAGGAAGCCCCUGGAAACACAUGGUGUGGACUCUUUCACAGGCUGUUGAAACCCUCCUGAAUGUGAGGCCAGAGACAGGCAGACAGCAGAUGUAUUGCAGGGAGCUGGAUGACAUGGCCCUUGGAACCUGUGCACAUGCCUGCCUUUCUGAUGCACGUCCAUGUUUUCUCUGCACCUCCCCGGUGGUGUUGGUAUAAAAAGCAGGCUUACAUCAGCAAGGGAUGAUUGUCGUCUCAUGCGAUCCUGGGAGAUGGCAGAAGUCCCGGGACACAUGGAGUGUGGGCUCUUUCGGAGGCUGUUGGAUCCCUCCUGAAUGUGUUGUGGCCAUGGAAGUAAGGCCAGUGGCUACGAGGGACAGUCUUCAUCUUGGGAGAUCCCUAGAGAGGGCAGGGAGCCCCUUGACAUGUGGAAUGUGAUCUCUGUUGGGUGCUGGUGGAUCCCACAGGUGGUCUGGCAUGGAAGAAGGCCAGAGGCUGCGAUGGAUCAUCUUUGUCUUGGGAGAUUCCUGGAGAUGGUGGGGAGCCCCUGGGCACGUGCAGCAUAUGUGGCGUGGGCUUCUUCAGGUGCUGGUGGAUCCCUCAGGAUGGUAAAUGUCCAUUUUCCAAAAUCUUCUGAUAUUCCAUCUUUGUAGGUACAAAGACUGUGCAUGGAUCGAUGAUGACUUUUAUACAUGCAUUCCUUGGAAAGCUGAACAAAAUGAGUGAAAACUCUAUACCGUCAUCUUCGUUGAACUGAGGUCCAGCACAUUGCUCCAACAGUGGGUAGAUAGAGAGGGAAAACUUCCAUUUGUUGACGCAGGUUCCAUUGAGGGGUUUGUCCAGGCUUAGGAUGGGGUCCCCUUUGGGCAAAGGGAGUCACAGGGGAGUGCGGCCUCCUGUGCACAGGAGAUUCCUUGUGUGAAGGAUUUACCUCUGUGAGAGCAGGGUAGCACACAUAACUAUGCAGGAGCAGGUGAAUGUGCAGGUGGCACAGGAAGAGUUAGAUGGCAGCCUGUCUCUGCACAGCGAGGUUUGACUUGUCCUAGCUCUGCAUUCCCUCAUCCCUUAGAGGAAGUUGGUUUCUUCAGAAGACUUAAAUUUGUGGAAUUCAGUAGAAUAUUAUCCACAUAAUGUUCCCAGUGAAUGCUAGGCAUAUCACCCAAGAUGGCCAGGCCUCUGGCCAUAAACCAUAGUAAAUAGUAGGGUGUGCAUAUAUCCAUUAGGGAGAACCUGAAAGGUCCUUUUUUGGCCCUCCAAGGUGAAUGCCUGCAAAAGCAAGCGAAGCACGCUAUCUGCCUGCAUGAGCCCCAUGUACCUGGCGUGGCCUGUGCUCCUCACCGUGUGUCCCACUUCUGCUGCCCCUUCGCCUUGCCAGGUGGAGUCUGACUGAUUUUUUGCCACUGCUGCCACCACAGGCCACCUGGAGCCCCAGCCAGUUUGAGGAAAGUGGCUCUGCUUGAUUUUCCUUUUUUCUUUUUUUUUCCUCUUUUUUUCUCCAUUUCUGACUUCAGCAGGUGGGACUUGGAGCUUCUGCUUCUGCAGCCACAGAAGACUCCCCAGUUUGGAGGGCUGUGGUUGUGGGCUCCCUAAGCAUCUCUCUGCAGAGCCUCUUUGUUUUCCAUUUUACCCACCAUGUCAAUAAUUUAACACAGUGGCGGAGGAGUUCAUGUCUCUUCCUAUUUGUCAUUACUCUUCUAACUUUCACAGCUGUACUCGGCUACUGGUCAGAAUAAGAGAAAAAGCAGUGGAACCAGGAGGAUCCUACAAGAAAUAUUCCAUUUCACUUUUGUUUGUGCAUAUACCUUUUCUGUUUAAAUGUGGACUUCGAUUUGAUAUGCUUCCAGUGCAGACACAGAUCCCAUAUGUAAGAGAGUAUGGAGUUGCAUAGAAAGAAGACUUGUCAUUUUCCUGUACUGUUGGUGUUCUAAUCUGUCUUCGUGGUUUUUGCCUCUUCUGGCUUUAGAAGAUACACCAACAUGGUUUUGCAACAUAGCCUCUUCUUAUUUUAGUAAGGGACCAAAUGUGCAUGUCAGUAACAGGUGUUACCUUGAAUUGGGAUCAGUGCUUGUGUGACUAUAUUCAGUGAUGUCAUUUUCUGUCACACUCAAGUCACAAAAUAUUUAACCACUUAUUUUUUUAUCUCUGGAGGAAUAAUCCAAAAGAUUGUACUGGUAAAGCCAGAACAAUUUCCAAUUAUGCUAAUUAUUUGUAUAAUACUUAGUUGGCUUUAUCUGUGGUUUGUUGGCUUAUUUUCCUGUAGCUUUUCAAGGUUUUUCUAUGAGUUCUGUUAAAGAGUCUGAAAAUGGAGCGUAGAAGACAUGCUUCGAUUUCCAGGAUGGUUGUGUUUUCCAGAGAGGCGGAGGUAAACCACUGGCGCAGCCCUGCCUCCCACAGAUAAUUCCGGGUGCAGUGUUUCAUAUCUAGACUUGGACUUCUAUCCUACCAUACUUCUUUGUGUGCAGGUAUUUUUGGGGAUAAAAUCCUUGUUUUCAGCUGUAUAGAUGUCUUGCACAUACUCUUUUGAUGGUUUGAUUUAUCCAUUGUGUUCAGCACGUUUCAGUGAGCAAGAUAUGGGAUUUAAUUUCCAAUAUAAAAUCCAUGA